GUAGGGGGCGAGCGUUAUCCGGAUUCAUUGGGCGUAAAGCGCGCGUAGGCGGCCUGGCAGGCCGGGGGUCAAAUGCGGGGGCUCAACCCCCGCCCGCCCCCGGAACCUUUAGGCUUGGGUCCGGUAGGGGAGGGUGGAACACCCGGUGUAGCGGUGGAAUGCGCAGAUAUCGGGUGGAACACCGGUGGCGAAGGCGGCCCUCUGGGCCGUGACCGACGCUGAGGCGCGAAAGCUGGGGGAGCGAACAGGAUUAGAUACCCUGGUAGUCCCAGCCGUAAACGAUGGACGCUAGGUGUGGGGGGACGAUCCCUCCGUGCCGAAGCCAACGCAUUAAGCGUCCCGCCUGGGGAGUACGGCCGCAAGGCUAAAACUCAAAGGA
rnacentral:rRNA from 1 species